ACCCACAUAAAGUGGGUAUGCCACUUUAAGAGAAGAGGUUAAGGAAGCUGGGUGGUCUGCCUGGCCAAUGAGAAGUUUGGUUUCCAGAGCGUCUGGACCAAUCAGGGUGCAGGCUGCCGUUGUGGAUCCCGCCCUUCUCCCCCGGGUCUGCAGUACCGUUGGCUUUGCUCUAGAGAUCCGACGCGGUGAGACUGCUGAGCGGGGCAGCGCCAGAAGCCGUUAGGAAUCGUUGGCUCUUUCUGGCAGUUAUUUCAGCUUGUUCUUCGUAGAUAAAAGUGCCCCACGCAUCCGGAUUGAGACCCACUAUACGGUUGUCUGAAGUGUGUCGCACUGAGAUCGGUGAGCAUAUUCGGAGCCUUUUAUUUGUGUUUUUGUCGUUUGUUACAUUGUUGUUAAAAAAAUAUCCGUUGUUUUAGUAACUAGGUAAUGUUUUGUUACUGUGUUGGAAAGAAGGAUUAAAGCUAGAACGGCUUGGUAAAGUCCUGUAUUUCUGCUGGUCCUGUCUGUUGACAGGUCAGGUUUUUUUUUAUACUGGAUCAUUCCUGAAGUGGAUCCCUCCUUUGAUAUUGAUGGCGAGCCUUCCCACCUGGACCUAAAGAGAGAACCAGAUUUCGUCUAUCCCAUUUGGAGUCAUGCUGCACCCUGCGGUGUGGUAGGAGAGCAACAUACAUCUUCACACACGGUUAUGUGUGAAACCUACAACUGACAUUCUCCAUUAUUAUUGUUUUUUAUUUAUUGAUUUUUGGACAAUACUGUUUGGAUUGUUUUAUUUCGGACAUUGUGACGCACAGCUGUGGUGGAAAUUCUCCUGUGAAUGAAGUUGAAUCAAACCAAAUUGGGAUUAAUUUGAUUAAUCUGCUGACUAAUACAAUUUGGAGUGCAGAUUACCAGGGUGCACCCGAAUUAUUUGAAAUUAAGAAUUAGCACUUGGCCAAGUAUUAUUGUUAUUUCUUUUUUUUUUUCAUUUUAUUGUGUGUAAUUUUAUUUUCAUAAUUGUGUGUUUUGUGCAACUGUUAAUUGUGUGUUUUCUGUCACUAAAACCAGUUCUUUAAAUACACCCAACUGCCCUUGUGUGUCAUUUAAACACUCCACUGUGCUCCGAUAGCCGAACCUAUUGGCCCAUUUAUCCAAAAUAUAUGUAAUACCCUUCUCUACUGUGUU